rnacentral:rRNA from 1 species
GAUGAACGCUAGCGGCAGGCUUAACACAUGCAAGUCGAGGGGCAGCAUAGUUUGUAGCAAUACAAAUGGUGGCGACCGGCGGAUGGGUGAGUAACGCGUAUGUAAUCUGCCUUGUACAGGGGGAUAACCCGGAGAAAUUUGGACUAAUACCCCAUAACUAUAGUGGGAGGCAUCUCUUGGUAUUUAAAGGAGCAAUCAGGUACAAGAUGAACAUGCGUACCAUUAGAUAGUUGGUAAGGUAACGGCUUACCAAGUCUACGGUGAUUAGGGGUUCUGAGAGGAUAAACCCCCACACUGGGACUGAGACACGGCCCAGACUCCUACGGGAGGCAGCAGUGAGGAAUAUUGGUCAAUGGUCGAAAGACUGAACCAGCCAUGCCGCGUGCAGGAUGACGGCCCUACGGGUUGUAAACUGCCUUUUUAAGGGAACAAUAAGCUGUACGUGUACAGUGAUGAGUGUACUUUAUGAAUAAGCACCGGCUAACUCCGUGCCAGCAGCCGCCGCGGUAA